rnacentral:lncRNA from 1 species
GAGACGGAGUCUUGCUCUGUUGCCCAGGCUGGAUGGAGUGCAGUGGCACGAUCUCGGCUCACUGCAAGCUCUGCCUCCUGGGUUCAACCGAUUUUCUGGCCUCAGCCUCCCGAGUAGCUGGGACUACAGGCACCCGCCACCAUGCCCGACUAAUUUUUGUAUUUUUAGUAGAGACAGGAAUUCACAAUAUUGGCCAGGCACUUUGGGACACUGAUUCGGGCAGAUCUUGCAGUCAGGGGAUAGAGACUAUGCUGGUUAACAUGGUGAAACCCUGUCUCUACUAAAAAUACAAAAAAUUAGCCGGGCAUGGUGGUGGGCACCUGUAGUCCCAGCUACUCGGGAGGCUGAGGCCGGAGAAUGGCGUGAACCCAGGAGGCGGGGUUUGUAGUGAGCCGAGAUCACACCACUGCACUCCACCCUGGCCAACAGAGCGAGACACCAUCUCAAAAAAAAAAAAAACAAAAAAAGCCCACACCCCCUUCUGAACAGCGAUAUCCAAGGUCACGUAAAGCCCAAGGCAGCUGCCUGAGUCCAUCAGACAACCUCGCUCUCAUUAAAUAUAUAUCAUUCUUUAUACUGUACAGACACAUGCCCAUGGCCACCCCCACCAGAGUUUCCCCAACCUUCAGCCCCUCUCUGGCAUCCCCAGAAGUAAAAGUUUAUUUUUGGGGGAUUUUUUUGAGACAUAGUCUAGCUCUGCCACCCAGGCUGGAGUGCAGGAACACAAUCAUGGCUCACUGCAGCCUCCGCCUCCCAGGUUCAAGUGAUUCUUGUGCCUCAGCCUCCCAAGUAGCUGGGAUUACAGCCAUGUACCACUACACUCGGCUAAUUUUUUUUUUUUGAGACGGAGUCUUGCUGUGUCCCCCAGGCUGGAGGGCAGUAGCAUGAUCUCAGCUCAGUGCAAGCUCUGCCUCCCAGGUUCAGGCCAUUCUCCUGCCUCAGCCUCCCGAGUAGCUGGGACUACAGGUGCCCACCACCACAGCUGGCUAAUUUUUUGUAUUUUUUUUUUUUUAGUAGAGACGGGGUUUCACUGUGUUAGCCAGGAUGGUCUCGAUCUCCAUACUUCCUGAUCCACCCACCUCAGCAUCCCAAAGUGCUGGGAUUCCAGGCUUGAGCCACCAUGCCUGGCCUGUAUUUUUUUUUUUUAGUAGAGACGGGGUUUCACCAUGUUGGCCAGGCUGGUCUUGAAUUUCUGGUCUCAAGUGAUCCACCAGCCUUGGCCUCUGAAAGUGAGGAGAUUAUAGGGGUGAGCCACCACACCCAGCGCCUACAAAUAAAAUUAUUUCACAA